rnacentral:rRNA from 1 species
AGGACGAACGCUGGCGGCGUGCUUAACACAUGCAAGUCGAGCGGACAUCUUCGGAUGUUAGCGGCGAACGGGUGAGUAACACGUGGGCAACCUGCCCCUAGCUCUGGGAUAACUCCGGGAAACCGGGGCUAAUACUGGAUAUGACCGAUCCAUGCAUGUGGGUUGGUGGAAAGUUUUUCGGCCAGGGAUGGGCCCGCGGCCUAUCAGCUUGUUGGUGGGGUGAUGGCCUACCAAGGCGACGACGGGUA